ACCAACACUUACUGUAUUCUGUA
rnacentral:piRNA from 1 species